rnacentral:rRNA from 1 species
ACGUAGGUGGCGAGCGUUAUCCGGAAUGAUUGGGCGUAAAGGGUACGUAGGCGGCAUGAUAAGUCUGGAGUGAAAGGCUACAGCUCAACUGUAGUAUGCUCUGGAAACUGUCAAGCUAGAGUGCAGAAGAGGGCAAUGGAACUCCAUGUGUAGCGGUAAAAUGCGUAGAUAUAUGGAAGAACACCGGUGGCGAAGGCGGUUGCCUGGUCUGAAACUGACGCUGAAGUACGAAAGCGUGGGGAGCAAAUAG